UUAUAUUUAGAAACAUUGAAUAAAUUUAUAAAUUCUAUUUACUAAAAUAAACAAGAGAAACAAAAUUGAUGCUCACAUAUAUUUAAUACACAGUAUAAAAACAAAAUAUUGUGAACAGUAUACAUCUUGCUGUUCAGACAUGUAUUUAAGAAAUAAAGAAGUCCACUUCAACGCUUCAUGAUCCUCUGUAAUAAAGAAAAAUCAAAUAUCAUUAAAUUACCUAUAUUUGUCAUUGAGUAAUAUACAAUAUGUAAUGGUUGUGUAAGAAUAAAAAUAUUAUUUUUUUUAUCUAUUUAGUAUAUAUAUAGUUUUACAAAGUAUGGGGGCGUGAGACCUGAAAAUAACAUAAUACAUUAAAAUUAUUAAAACGUUUUUGCAAAAGAUGUUUUCUAUCAGAAAUAUUGCUCCAAUUAAAAAAAUGACAAGAUAUUGAUUUCAAUUCAAUUUAUUAUUAUAGUGUUUGGCAACUGAUAUAGAAUGUCAUUUUUUGAUAUCGAAUAUAAUUUUCAUAAUUGGAAAAACCAAGAAAAACAGGAAAUAUGGCAUUUGGGUUUUUUGUUGAAAAAUUAUUGUAGACUUGUAGUUUUCAGAAAAAUACUUAUAUUGGUCUUUUGUAGAGAUGGUAAAAUUAUCAGAAUAUUUCAACUAUUUUUAACUAUAGGUAUUUGAUAUUUUCAUAUAUUUAUGUAAUUUAUUUGGUAGGUAUCUGUUAAUAAAAUUAUACGACUAGAAAAAUGCUUGAAAAUUUAACACAAAGUACAUUAUAAGUUGUACUUAGUAGUCUCGAAAAUACAUUUUUGUUAAAUGCAUUAAUUUUUUUUUUUAUAUAUAUAUAUAUGUGUGUUUUAAGAUCAUAUUUUGAUGAAAACCUUAAAAAUAAAGGCAUUUCAAAAUAUGUCUUACCAAACUUGUUUUUUGAUGAAUAAUUUUGUUUAAAUUCAUUGUACAUCACAAGAUAAAAAUAGUUUAUACAAUUUAUCUUAAAACCACUAGCAAAUGAUAUUUAAAAAGAAAAACAUAAAAUAUCGCUAAGUUCUUUAUAAAGUUUUAUCUUGAAAAAUUGCAAAUGAAAUAUUAUUGCAAUAAUUAUUUUCAUAAAUAUUAUAUUUUUAUAAUAAUUAUACUUACACAAUGAUAUUGUUAAUGGGUAUAUGAAUGAGUUUGACAAAAAAUCCAAUGAAACCCAUUAUGCAAAACCCAAUAGCUGUUGCAAUUGCGAUUUUUUGGAAUUCUGUGAACAAAGUUCAUAAUUUCAUAAAUCGGUUGGAUAAUGAAUAGACAAAAUCAUAAUGUUUACCUUUCCUGUCUGGUUUGGUGCAUCUUUUCACCAGCCUGACCGAGUCUUUAGAGAACUGACGUCCAGGUUCCAAUACUUUUGUUACUUGAUCCAUAUUAUUACCUUCUACGCGUAUGUGACCUACGGGAUAACAAAAACAACUUAACAAAAUAAUUCAAAUAAACGACACGGUGAUGAGGUUGUGGCAAAUAUAAUUGUUUAACACACAGAGUUUUGGUAUGAGAGGUAAAUAGCGUACGAGUAAUGAACGCGUCAACAACUGGGUCGUUCCACGAAACGCGGAACUGUAUAUUAAACAGUAAACUGAUUAUUUUAGUGACACGUUUUGAUUGUUCUUAUCACUAACAGUCUACGUAAAUAACAAAUGGAAGCAACGUCAUCGGUCGUGUUGGAAUCAUAGAUAAUAAAAGAUUUUAUUAUCUAUGGUUGGAACGCCAUUGAUUGUAAACAACUGUUUGACUGAUGUUCGGAAUAUCCUUGGAGCACGAGAGAGUUUGCUGAUGUUUUUAUCCCCAGCAGAUCACAUAAAUAAUAAUAAUUAUCACCUUUCUGGAAACCUGUUCGAGCAUCGAGCUGCCGCCGCAGCAGCAGCAGCAAACUGGAUGCAUUAUAAUGUGAUUGAUUGUCAAUAAAUUAUUAUUGACAUUUGACACCAGUUUGUUGGCUUCUCCCGUCAUCUGCUCAUUUCUAUCCCGUUUUACGCGUCUCUGAUCUUUUGGGUCGGCCACAGAUACAUCCGAUUUAUAUACACGUUCGUAAUAUGCACAGCACCCAAUAAUAUGGCUUUCUUGUGUCCUGUAAGAAUACGUCGAGGCAAGAAGAAAAAAAGUACGAUUAAUUCCUCACUCCCACCACUAUUACUGCUAAAAUUUAUCCUUCAGGACCUGUUGGAUCGUUGAAUUUUUUUUAAAUUUUUAACUUGCUUACAGGUGGUUCAACCAGCGAUUUGGAUAAAGAGGUGUUACGUGGAACCAAUGUCAAUGGACCCGUUCCCGGUAUGGGACGUAUCACUGGCAGUGCGUCUAUUGAGACAUUGGUGCGCGUCGGUAUUGAAAAAGAAAAUGGUCUGUCACCCGAUAGUAAAAUGGUUGUGCUGCACGAUUUCACACCGUGUGUCGAUGAUGAGUUGACUGUGAAACGAGGCCAGGUU
rnacentral:lncRNA from 1 species